AGAACCGAAGGUCUGUGCAAGAUGUUGUGGACCUCCACCUUGCUGUAGCUUCUGUAUAGAUUGCGAAAUAGGAAAUCCUUUGCCAAAUCAUUAUUGUGGAUCGAGUGAUAGAGUCUGUCCAAAAGGUUACUACUGCAAGACUAAUCCCCAGAUCGGCAGAUUAGGAGUUUGCUGUAAAGGUACACGACCCCAGAAAUGUCCUGCAGACCAUUUUAAACAAAGGAAUUGUUAUGGAAAGUCUAUACGAUUAUGUAAAAGCGAUGAUAACUGUGCGCAAAACAAAAAAUGUUGUAAACAGGGCUGCUUUCACUAUUGUAUAGAUCCUGUAUUGUACGAAUGGUAUAUGUGGUAACCGUCACGAAAGUACUUUAUAACUAA